CCUACGGGAGGCAGCAGUGGGGAAUAUUGGGCAAUGGGCGAAAGCCUGACCCAGCAACGCCGCGUGAAGGAAGAAGGCUUUCGGGUUGUAAACUUCUUUUGACAGGGAAGAGCAGAAGACGGUACCUGUCGAAUAAGACACGGCUAACUACGUGCCAGCAGCCGCUGUCAUACGUAGGUGGCAAGCGUUGUCCGGAUUUACUGGGUGUAAAGGGCGUGUAGCCGGGCUGACAAGUCAGAUGUGAAAUCCGGGGGCUCAACCCCCGAACUGCAGUUGAAACUGGUGGUCUUGAGUAUCGGAGAGGCAGGCGGAAUUCCUAGUGCAGCGGUGAAAUGCGUAGAUAUUAGGAGGAACACCAGUGGCGAAGGCAGCCUGCUGGACGACAACUGACGGUGAGGCGCGAAAGCGUGGGGAGCAAACAGGAUUAGAUACCCGGGUAGUC
rnacentral:rRNA from 1 species